GAUGAACGCUAGCUACAGGCUUAACACAUGCAAGUCGAGGGGUAGCAGGGUAGCAAUACCGCUGACGACCGGCGCACGGGUGAGUAACACGUAUCCAACCUUCCCAUAAUUCGGGGAUAGCCUUUCGAAAGAAAGAUUAAUACCCGAUAGUACUUUUUUGAGGCAUCUUAAGAAAGUUAAAGAUUUAUUGGUUAUGGAUGGGGAGUGCGUUCCAUUAGAUUGUUGGUGAGGUAACGGCUCACCAAGUCUUCGAUGGAUAGGGGUUCUGAGAGGAAGGUCCCCCACAUUGGUACUGAGACACGGACCAAACUCCUACGGGAGGCAGCAGUGAGGAAUAUUGGUCAAUGGGCGAGAGCCUGAACCAGCCAAGUAGCGUGAAGGAUGAAGGUCCUAUGGAUUGUAAACUUCUUUUAUAGUAGAAUAAAGUGAUCCACGUGUGGAUUUUUGUAUGUAUACUAUGAAUAAGGAUCGGCUAACUCCGUGCCAGCAGCCGCGGUAAAACGUCUA
rnacentral:rRNA from 1 species